rnacentral:rRNA from 1 species
GUCUACGCGAAGAACCUUACCAACCCUUGACAUGGGACGUAUGGGCUUCAGAGAUGAGGUCCUUCAGUUCGGCUGGCGUCCACACAGGUGAUGCAUGGCUGUCG